GUUGAUACCAACAUUACCUUGUUCGGUGGAAAGGCCGACCAGAGUCUGACGUGACGUGGAUUUUUAGAGCCAAGUUGCAGUGCCUUGACCCCGAUCUUCUGAAGCAGUAUGACAGCCGGCCAGACCUGCAUUCGACGGAAUCGAGUUUUUUCCACCUGGAAGGAGUUGAUGGGAACAUCAGAGCCAUUUGAUCAGGUGAUCGAACCAUCAGAGCCGUUCGCUCACGUUCACACCAAAGAUUAAUAUCAUUAUGGCUCGGAGACGAUCUUGAGCCACUGGAUUGAGUCAGACCCAGAUUGGGUCUAUUUGAGUCUAAGUCACUUUUAUUUUAUUGCACUAUUUGCUUUUGUUUUAGUCAAAUCAAUUUGGUCAGUUGUUUUGUUAUUAAUCAAGUUAAUUGAGUCAUAUAAUUGGAUCGAGAGAUUGGAUCGAUUUUGGUAUGUAAUCAAUUAAUUGACUUAGUCAGUUGAUUGAAGGGUCCAAGUUUGGUUAGUUGUCAAUUGGUUGACUUGGCCAAUUCAUGAUAUAAGGCCUAUAUAAAGGCCACCCCUCUCAUGAAUUGGGGUAUUAAAUGAUUGAAUAAAAACCUUAGCAUCCUUCUUCUUCUUCUUCUUCUUCUUCUUCUUCUUCUUCUCUUCUUCCUCCUCUCUUUCUCUUCCUCCUCCUCCUUCCCUCUUUUUCCUGCAGUGGUCCUCCAUCAAUAUCACCAUCAAAUUAACACUUGACAGGGGAGAUAUCAUGUUUGCUGCGCAUUGAUGUCUGUCUGGGAUCUUCAUAAAGCAUGGCUACAGGCAGAAUUCAAGGGUCUAAGCCAAGCUAUUAUAACCCGCUGGCGAGGGCCGUAUGCCGAGCUACUGUAACCUGCUGGCGAGGGCCACAAUCUUUGCCAACUAUUGUUUCCCGUUGGCAGGGUCUAAACCAAGCUACUAUAACCCGCUAGCGAGGGCCGUAUGCCGAGCUACUGUAACCCGCUGGCGAGGGCCAUAAUCUUUGCCAACUAUUGUUCCUCGUUGGCAGGGUCUUCUUCCAGUUACUAUCACCCACUGGCGGGGGUUGUAAAGCCAAGUUACUUUUACCCACUGGCGGGGGUCAUAUGCCUAGUUACUGUUACCCACUGGCGGGGGUCGUGCAUAGCGAUCUGAGAGUUCUUAAAAUAUAUCAUGCUUUUCAUAAAUCUUUUCUCAUAGAUACAUUGGAAAGUGAAUAAUGGCAUCAUGCUAAAUAAAACUCAUGAUCAUGCUAAAAACUUUAUUUUUCUAUGCAUCUUUCUACAUCAUCAUAAUCAUCAUAAUCAUGUGUAUAUAAUAUAAUAAUAAUCAUGAUCCAAAAUUAUGUAAUCAUUUGCUAACACAUGCUUGAUCCUAAUUUUGUGAAAGCAUAAAUAAUCAUAUACAAUUUCAUAAUCGAGUAAUCACAAGUAUUUAAUAAAACAUAAGAUUAUAUCAGGAUUACUUUUUCCACAAUUUAUAGACACAAUUCCACUUGCAUAAAUAAUACUUUUUCAUCUUAUAAAACGUGAUACAUAAUCCAUAAUAAGAUUAAGACAGGUUACUUACCUUCAAUUGCUCACCCAAAUACCAAUUCUCCAAUACCUAGCAAGAUCAUUAAAUUACAUAUCACUUGCACCUUUAAUUUCUAUUUAUUUAUAAUCUUAAAGUCAUUUACAGCCCAUCCAUUGGACUCAAUUUCAUUUUCGGAUCCAUAACGUAGUUCCAUUUUUGGGUUAGGCCCAUGGCCCAAUUCAAUUUCUGGUUCUGGUCUAAUCUACUUUAUGGUUCGGAUUUGAUUCCAUUUCUGGUUCAGGUCUGGGUCAAUUACAUAUUGGUUUAGAUCUGACUCAAUUAAUUCUGGGUUUAAGAAUAUUGGGCUCAGAUAAGGGCCCAGUCCAGCCUGGGGCCUUUAAAGCUCGGUUCAUUUGAAGCCCACCGCCGGAAUCAGGCCCAAUUCGACCCACAUCAAUUUUUAUUUUAUUUUCCUUUCUUCUUUUCUUUUCUUUUUUUUUCUUUUCUUUUCUUUUCUUAUUUUUCUUUUCUUUCUUCUCCUCCCUUCCCGAACCUUCUUCUCCUUUCUUCUUCCCAUCCCGAUCUCCUCCCCCUCCUCUUCUCCUCUCCUCCCAUGAGGCAAGGGGAUGGAGUGCUCGGGCGGAGGCCGGCUCAAAGCCGGCUGCGCUGCGGCCAACCAGCGGCGCCUGCGGUGGCUGCGGCCCAACCUGCAGCAGCCGCGGCCCGGCUGGACGCUCUCCUUCUCCACCUCCGGUGGAGGAGAUGGGGCAUGACACCCAUCGAGAAGAAGGAACCGGCUGAAGCCGGUGGUGAACGCAGGGUGUGUGGCCACACCCAUGGUGCCCGCACAGCCCAUGGCCGGCUCUGCGACUGCAGCCCGUGGACAACCCGAUGGCGUCCACGACCGGAGAAUAGAAGAAUCCUCUUCACCUUCUUCUUCUCCGGUCACCUCCGGCUAAGAUCAAACCGGUUCCACCUAUGGGAACCGGAUUUGCAUGAUCCGAGGACCCUUCCAAGAAUCAGAAGGUAUGUAUGUAUUUUAGGAUUUUAGACCUAGGGUUUUGAUGGGAAGAAAAUCACAGUCGAGUGGAAAGGGAAGGCUAAUUCGGCCUGGGCCGUCCAUGGCCUUCGAUCAACCGAUCCAACGUUGGAUGACGGCUGCUCACAGUGAGAUCUUCCCCUUCCUUCCUCCUCCUCAUCUUCCAUUCUUCUACCCUUCCUCUUCUUCUAUUUUUUCUUUUUUAUUUUUCUAAUUUUCUUUUUGUUCUGAUCAUUUAUCUGGACAAAUCGGAAUAUGAGAUAGAAAGGAUAGAGUGAUCAGAAGAUUCACCUAGCUCCGGGAAGGAGCUGUGAGCGACGAUGUCGAGCUGGGGUGCCUCCUCCUCCGGCGCCGCCGCUCUCGAUCCAAUUCCUUGUAGCAGGAGAAAGAGGGUAAGAGGCAGUGAAGGGUGGUCGAUGGAAUUUCACAGAGGAAGCCAUGGCAUUUAUAGCCUCAUCGGAAGGAAGGGGGAGGGAGAACGGCCACUGUUGAGCGGUUAUAACCGCCUCAACAGCUUCCUUCCCGAAGCUACCACUGUUGGACCUCCAGAUGGGCCACCGACUACGAUCCAGGUUGGCCCAUUUGGACCCAAUAAUUACAUAAACAAUCUCAACAAAUCUAAUAAUUUGGGAUCCACUCUAAUCCUCUUCAGAAAAGGCACUUAAUAUUUGGAACAUUUAGUAUUGCUAUUCAUAUUCAUAAAGUUAGAAGUCCAGUGGUAUUUAUGAUGCCUAUUCAGUGAAGAACUUUUUUAGGGUAAAGUGCCUUUGUGAGAAACCCAUUCUUAUCUUUUAUGGUAAUGGAUGAAAGAUGCAGGGAACUGUUGUCCAAGAGUUGUUGCACUAUAAGCAUAGCACCUGUCUGGCAUGGGUGAAACUGUGCAAGUUGGGCACUUCAGUCUCUUAGACUGAAACUUCCUUGUAUUAUAUGCAUUCAAAUCUGAAGUCAUUGGCAUCCAAUAAGCUUAGGUUAUUAAAAUUGCAAUCUAAAUUCCAUAGACAUCUCCAUAAUUUCUUCUAAUAUUUUUAUAGAGAACUUACAAGUGGAACUUUGCUUGUUACAUUUUUGAGCUGCUGGUUAAUGUUUCCACUGGCAUGUCAGGUUUUUCGCAAUUUUACUCUACAAUGUAGAAAGCCACAGUUACAUUUGAUACUAGCAUAUGCACACUCAUUGAUUCCUUAUAUAAGAAGGAAGCACCAAGCUGUCAUUUUUUCGUGAGUAAAAACAGGUAGCCCCGGAUGCUGGCCAUUCUGCUAAUGAAGCUGGAAUUGCCGCUGAUCUAGCGGCAACCAAUGAGAAAUUCAAGAACAUCUUGAAAAUUGAUGGGUUCAAACUAGUAGUUGUUUGUGGGUUAAAAAGGAUCAAGCUUAAGGAGAUUGCAGGGGAAGCUGAUCCUUCCAUUUGCCUGUAUUUGGUAUCUCAUACAUUAAAGAACAGAUGGAUGAGUGGGUACUGGAUGUUGGUAAGGGGGUCACGAUGAGAAUGAAUGGAAAAUAUUACUUUGUGGUGGCACCACAGAAAAAAGUCUGAGCUGCUAAUUGGUGCAAAUUGUGACAAGCCCAUGGCUCAGCAAACACCAUUUGCUAAGAAUCAGCAAGCAGCACUGCUUGAAGACUGGAUUCUCCUUGCAAAGACUGGGGCUGAAGCUGGGAGAGCUGGCGGUGAGUCGGAUCUCAACACUAGAAAGGAGCAUCUCAAGUUGGGUGUUGCAGGGCUUCCACAAUGAUUCCUUGGUGGGGGUCCCAAAGCCCACAAAACAAUAUCCAGCACCAACACACUCACCUGGAACAUCAUCAAUGCAUGCUAAAUUAUGGAUUAAGUAGUGCUAAUCUUACAGAUUAGACUUACAUGAACUGCAUUUUGUCUUUCAUAGAGAUUACCACAUAUGAUACAUAACGAAUGUGAUGAGACAUGACAACUAAGUAAAUCAUGUCAGCAAAGAAGAUAUUGGUAUAGCAGCACCAUCUUCAGUAUUAUUCUGUAAGAAAAAUCUUUGGUAUUACUUAUCCUCAUCAAGUGGCUUCCUGCCAUGGGUAUAUGUUCCACUUUUCAUUUCCUAAGAUGGCAUGAAUGUUGAAAAUAAUAUUGAUUGCUUUGGAGCAGAACAGGAUUUCUUGAUAUAAUUCACUAGAAGUUCCAUGUA